CACUCCUACGGGAGGCAGCAGUGAGGAAUAUUGGACAAUGGGUGGAAGCCUGAUCCAGCCAUCCCGCGUGCAGGAAGACGGCCCUAUGGGUUGUAAACUGCUUUUAUCUGGGGAUAAACCUACUUACGUGUAAGUAGCUGAAGGUACCAGAAGAAUAAGCACCGGCUAACUCCGUGCCAGCAGCCGCGGUAAUACGGAGGGUGCAAGCGUUAUCCGGAUUUAUUGGGUUUAAAGGGUCCGUAGGCGGACUGAUAAGUCAGUGGUGAAAUCCGACAGCUUAACUGUCGAACUGCCAUUGAUACUGUUAGUCUUGAGUAAGGUUGAAGUGGCUGGAAUAAGUAGUGUAGCGGUGAAAUGCAUAGAUAUUACUUAGAACACCAAUUGCGAAGGCAGGUCACUAAGUCUUAACUGACGCUGAUGGACGAAAGCGUGGGGAGCGAACAGGAUUAGAAACCCUAGUAGUCCCAU
rnacentral:rRNA from 1 species